GCCAACAUAGCUCAGUUGGUAGAGCAGCUGAUUCGUAAUCAGCAGGCCUGGGGUUCGAGUCCCCAUGUUGGCUCCA
rnacentral:tRNA from 1 species